AGGCAUGAGAGGUGGGAGGUAGAUGCUUCUUAGCUUCACAAGUUGGGGCUUAACAUAUUAAUUUUGUGACAUUCUUAUUUUCUAACCUAAACCUUUUAAGGUUGUAAACUUCCAUCUAAAUGAUAUUUUUGUUGUAUCCCACAUGUCUCAGAAUGUAGUCGUUUUGUUAUGGUUCACUUCUAAAUAUUUUGAGAUUUCUUUUAUGAUUUCUUCUUCGAUCCAUGAGUUAUCUAGAAGUGUAUCCUAAAUUUCAAAUCUUGGGGUUUUUCUUGUUACCUUUAUGUAAUUGUUGACUGCAUUGUGGUCAGAGGAGGUGGUCUGUAUGUUGUCAAUCUUGACUUUUUUUUGAGCUAGCCUUACAGGCUUAGUAGGGGGUUGCCUUUGUAAAUAUUCCACGUGUGCUUGAAAACAACACACAUUCCCCAUUUGCUGGGUCCUGGGUGCCAUGUGUGUCCACUGGGCCAAACUUGCUAAUGAUGCUGUCUUUAUUCUUAGGAUUCUUACCGUUUCUUUGUCAGCUCCAUCUAUCCAUUAUUGAGAGAGAAGGGUUAGAAUCUCCCCCUUUGGUGGUGCAUUUAUCAAGUUCUCCUUGCAGCUGUGUGAAUUUUUGCUUUAUAUGUUAAGUGCAUACCAAGUUAGACUCAUCUCUUUCUGAUGGGUAAGACCUUUUAUUGUUGUGUAGUUGGGUUGUCAUCUCUUUGUUUACAGCCUGUCUUGUCUGAUAAUACAGCAAUAUCAGCUUCCUUUUAGUUAGUAUUGGCCUGCCAUAUUAUUUUCUGUCUUAAGACUUUUGACCUUUCUGUGUCUUUCCUUCCUUUGGUCUGUCUCUCUCUGUUUUUUUUUUUCGCUGAGGAAGACUAGCCCUCAGCUGACAUCCGUGCUAGUCUUCCUCUAUUUUUCAACGUGUGGGUCGCCAGCACAGCAUGGCUGCUAACAGAGUGGAGUAGAUCCACACUCAGAACUGAAGCUGGGCCGCUGAAGUGGAGGGCACUGAACUUAACCACUAGGCCACUGGGGUUGGCCUUGUCUGUCUCUUUUGAGGGAGAUGACUUCUUUUUAAAAUAGCAGGUAAAACUAUAUAUUUUUUUACUUUUUAAAAAAUCCAGUCUGAAAAAUCAUUGUCUUUUAAUGGAAAGUUUUGUCCUUUAAGUUUAUUAUAAUUAUUGAUUUAUUCAGAUUCAUUUCUACCACCUUAUUAUAUUCUACUGUAUUUCUCCUGCUUGCUCCCCCCUCACUACCAUCUACCCUUCUUGCCUUCUAUUGGAUGAUAGAUGGUUUUUGUUGUUGUUGUUGUUUUAAAGAUUGGCACCUGAGCUAACACCUGUUGCCAAUCUUUUUUUUUCCCCUGCUUUUUCUCCCCAAAUGCCCCCGAGUAUAUAGUUGUAUAUAUAUUUUAGUUGUGGGCUCUUCUAGCUGUGGCAUGUGGGACGCCCCCUCAGCGUGGCCUGACAAGUGGUACCAUGUCUGCGCCCAAGAUCCGAAUCAGUGAAACCCUGGGCCACUGAAGCUGAGCAUGCAAACUUAAGCACUUGGCCACAGGGCUGCCCCGAUGGUUUUGUUUUUCCCUUAUUCUAGUACUCCCCUGCCCCCAGUAUUUUGGAUAUUUUGUGUCUAUAUAAAAAUAUGUAUUCUUUGAGUGGUUACCCUAGAUGUUUUGAUGUACAUACUAAACAAAAUUUAAAGUUAAUCAGCCUCUUAUUUUCCUUCAGCCACAAAGAUCUUAGAAUGCCUGAGAUCAGCAUCUUCAAACUGGAGCACCGUGCAUGCACGUUCUCCAAAGUGUAUGGGGACUGUUUUAAGGGAAUCAAUUUCCAGACCUGCUGUUUUCAUGUGCACCCUUUUCUAAAACUGAUUUUCCUGGGCACUCCUUUGAGAUGAAAGUGCAGGGUUUCCUUUCCUAUUUCUUCUUGCAUAAUCCCCAUUUUCUCACCUCUUGCCUGUCCUGAAUUUGACUCUGGCACAUUGCCCUAGGUGUAUAGACCUUUAAGGUACCAACAAAGGGUUGACUCAAAAAUGUCAGCGGUAAGUUUGGAAUAGUGAAUGACCGUAAUGGUUGGGUAACAAAAACGUUCGCAAGUUAAUUGGUUUUCAUUUAUUUGAAUAAUUUUGGUGCUAGAUCAUGUUGUUGAGAGUUUAGCUACACUACUCCAUAAUAUUACUGUUUCAGCAUACAUUUUGUGUGGCCAAACAGCCUGCAGGGGUAGCCCCUCCCUAGACAACUUUAUCCCCUCCCUAGUUACCAGCCGUGCUCUCUGCCUGCACCUUGACGUCCCGUCCCCAUGUGGCCUCUCCAUGUACCUCCUCCAGGAUCUAGAUCCAUACAGAAGGGGUUUGCCAGAUGCUGGUUGAUGAGUGAACAGAGAAACAAGCUCAAAGCACUUUAGAGGUCGCUUAGCUUGGAUCGUCCCUGGCAGUUUACAGAGGAGAAAACAGAGGCAGAGUGAUUUGCCCGGGGUCAGAGUCAGGAUGCAACCUGGAGGUUUUGACUUCUGUCCAAGGCUCUUUCCACCCCCUCAAAGGGCAGCAGCUGGGUGGAGGAGGGAACCCUGCCUCCCUUGAUGCCAUGUUGGCCCUAGGCUAGGAAGGGCAGUGUUCAGUGUCCCUCACAGCAGACGUCUCUGCCAAUCACUGAGCAUCAAGAUCUUCUGUUCCAGCUUCUGAAGCUUCGUUCAUUUUCCUUGUUCAUGGUAGAACUUCAAAAAAAAAAAAGAAAGUGUGUGGGAUUGAAUUGAAUCGAGUUGAAUUUCUCUGGGCCUUGAUUGCUCCAUCUGUAAAACGGGAGCGAUCCUUCAUUUAUUCACUCGUUCAUUGAACAAAUGUUUGUAGAGCCUCUGUGGAUCCUGUCUGGGCCUACAGUGGACACUGAGGCUGCAAAGAUGGCCAUAGUGAGAGCUCUGCACACACACAGCUCGGAGAACCUCAACGAUCCGUCAACAACGCCUGAUCUUUUUUCGCUUGCUGGGGCCUGCACGGGAGCAGGGACACGGGACUUGGGAGAACACAGCUGAGGGCCUGUUUGUUUGGCUUGGGACAGAGAUAAAGAAAGUUCACAGGGGACGUGGCCUUUGAGCUGCCUUCUGAAGGAUAACUAGGUGCGUGGGGUUUAUUGGCCUUGCUGCUCUUUAGAGAUUGCUCUUGGCUGACGAUGCCCUUUGUAUGACAGGCCUUGUUGGGAGCAGGUGCAGAGAUUAUUUCAGAGCUCGAGGUUUGUGCUGCUUUAAUGUGAUGAUGCUUCCUCUGGCCAAGCCCUUGCAAUCCCUAUUUCGACUCCUGCCCCUAGUGUGGGGUUGCCAGACUUAGCAAGUAAAAAUACAAGACUCUAGUCCAGUUAGAACUUCAGAUAAUAUUUGCAUGAGACAUUCUUGUACCAAAAAUUUAUUUGUUGUUUAUCUGAAAUUCUGCUUUGACUGGGACACCUGUAUUUUAUCUAGCAAACCUACCCCAGUAGCACAUGCCACCAAAAUCUCGCUGCUGGAGUCCCUUUUCCCCAGCCGGCUGCCUUCUUGCGCAGAGAACAUUCAGGAUGGCUGAAGCCCUGACACUUUCCUCAGCACCACUGGCCCAUGGGAAAGCUUACACAUCUUCGUCACUUCAGACGGCGAGAGAGGAGGCUACCUCGUGGCUGCUUUCUCUUCUCUCCCAUCCCGGAAACUCCAACCAACCCUCCUGUUUCCUGCCUCCCCAACCCCCCCACCACUUUCAGCAUUCUCUGGAUGGGAAGCACACAUCAGCGUCUGUUUGCAGACAGACCUCAGACUCUAGGGGACGUGCGUUACACUUUCCCAAGAAUGCUCAGGCUUUGGCAAUAUAAGAGAAAAGCCCAUAAGCUGGUGUAAUAACAUAAGGUGGUAAGCAUACACGUGUUUCCCAGCUCUGUCUGCUGAGAGGGCAUGGAAGAGUGACACCCAGUAGCAAUGAGCAUACUCUAAGCCCACAUCUUAGUUUCUAAAUACCACUCGCCAAUAAAAGGAACUAGGACUCCUUGAAAAAAUGGCUGAUUCCAGGAUUGGGGCAGGGAAGAUGCAAGAUGAGCCUGGAGCAUCUUGUAAUAACAAAGAAAUGGCCUCCAAACAAAACUAAAAACACAAAAUGGAUGAGGGGGCCGGCCCCGUGGCGGAGUGGUUGAGUUCGUGUGCCCUGCUUUCGAGGCCUGGCUUUUCGUAGUUUCGGAUCCUGGGUGCAGACAUGGCACUGCUCAUCAAGCCAUGCUGAGGUGGUGUCCCACAUGCCACAACCAGAAGGUCCUACAACUAGAACAUACAACUGUAUACUGGGGGCCUUUGGGGAGGAGAAAAAGAAAAAAAAGAAGAAAAUUGGCAGCAGAUGUUAGCUCAGGUGCCAAUCUUUAAAAAGAAAGAAAAGAUGGGGACAUGUCCAAAGGACCUAGGAGGCAAUCUGAAAGCUCCCAAUGGCCAAAUCUGGAACAAUUUGAGCAAGAAAAUAAAUAAUGCUAGUAUUAGAUUAUAACUCAAAGAAGAUAAAUAUCCAUCAGCCUAUACAGAUGUAAACAAAUGAUUGAAUGACUAAAUAGGAGAGAGAAAGAAAUCUUCCAUACAGAAUAAUUCCAAACAAUAUAUGUAGAUAUCUCUCCUGCUAGGAGGUGGAACUUAAUUUUUCUCUCCUUGAGUGUGGGCUGGACGUGGUGACUCACUUUCAAACAGCUGAGUGUGGGGAAAUAACAGCUUUACCAGUGAAGAAGCCUGGCUGACACCCCCUUAAGCAGGUGAUCAAGGCUAACAUCACCAGUGGUACAUCAUGGUGACAUCACAUACUCCUGAUAUGAUGCAGUGAGAAUGGCGCUUCACUUCUGUGAUAUUCUUCCCCCAAACUCUUAAAUCCAGUCUAUCAUGAGAAAACAUCAGACAAAAUCCAAUGCAGGGACAUUCUACAAAAUGGCUGACCAGUAUUCUUCAAGGGGUCAAGGUUAUAAAAAGCCAGAGGAAAGACUGAGAAAGUCGCUGGUUAGAGACGACUGAGGAGACACGGUGACUAAAUGCAGUGUGGCAUCCUGGAUGGGAUCCUGGGAUGAAGAAAGGACGUUAGUGGAAAAGCUGGAGAAAUCCAUGGUAACAGUAAUGUUGGUUUCCGAAUCUUGAGAAAUGACCACAGUAAUGUAAGAUGUUAACCUUAGGAGAAGCUGGAUGGGAGUAUAUGGGAACUUAUUAUCUUAAUCAAUUAAGAUAAUAUCUUAAUUAAUAUCUUAUAUUAUCUUUGCAACUUUCCCAUGUCUGAUAUGAUUCCAAAAUAAAAAAGCAAAACAAACAAGUAAGCAAAAACCAUAAGGUGGUUUAAACACAUAAGGUUUUAUUUUCUUUCAUGUAAAUGAAGUCCAGGGGUAAGCAGUCCAUGGUGGCUCCAUGAUCAUCAAGGAUCUGGGCUUCUUGUAUAUUUCUAUGCUGCCGUCUUUAAGCACUUCAUGUUAUGGUCCAGGAUGGCUGCCAGAACUCCAAACUUCCUGUCUACAUCCCAGGCAGCAGUAAGGAGGAAGGAGAAAGGACAAAGAAAGAUAAGAAUUCUUUUAGUUGACUCAUUUCCCAUUCAGGAGCUUUCCAGAACCCCCAGACAACGUUUCCACUUCCACCGUGUCGGCCUGGACAUAUCUAGUUGCAAAGGAGGCUGGGAAAUGUAAUCUUUUUCUUGGUGCAUUGUGCACUGAGUAAAACAAAAGAUCUGUUGCUAGGGAAGAACUGUAUACUGCUUAGGCAUCUGGUCGUCAUUGAGCUUUCUGUUUCUGUGCAUCAGGUGGCCUGUGACUUUCUCAGCUCAGUUGUGCCUGGAGGAAGGCAGACAGUCUCCCUUGAAGGCACCUCCUGUCUCUAUGACCAUUCUCUUGGCUUGGAGAAGGGGAAACUCACAAUAUUUCCCACCAGGCUGACGACUCACCUCCCUUUAUAGAUCUCUCCAUAAUAAACUUCAGUUUUUGGCUUCUGUUGGCUGGCUGGAGAUAAGCAUUGAAGGACAGUUUGUCUACUUUUUAGUAAGCUCUGUGGGUAAUCUCCGAGUCCUCUGCUUUGGGACUGUAGGUAAAAUUGUGGGGUAGCAGGAAAAGCCUAUUCAACAUCCUGUUAUCCAGGUUUCACUGAGAAGAGAAGGGGGAGAAGAAAGACCAACAGGCCGUGCAUCUUGUAUGAUCUCAUGGUAGGACAAACUGUUACCUCGCUCUCUUCCAGAAUGUAAUUUGGCAGAUAUAUCCAAAGUCUUCGAAACAUUCGUACCCCUGUAAUAUAACCUUCUAGAAACUGGCAUCUAUUUCAAGGAAGUAAUCUGAAUACAAGGAAUAAAAAAUUGCUCGAAGGUAUUUAUUUCAGUGUUAUUUAUAAUGUGAGAAAAUAGGAACCAAUUUAAAGUAAAUGACGCGUCUUUUACUAGAUGGAUUUCAUGUAGCCAAUAAAAAUAAUGUUCAUUAUGAUUUAAAGAUAACAUGGAGGGGCCGGCCCAGUGGCGCAGUGGUUAAGUGUGCACAUUCCGCUUCAGCGGCCUGGGGUUCGCCAGUUCAGAUCCCAGGUGUGGACAUGGCACCGCCUGGCAUGCCAUGCUGUGGCAGGUGUCCCACAUAUAAAGUAGUGGAAGAUGGACACGGAUGUGAGCUCACGGCCAGCCUUCCUCAGCAAAAAGAGGAGGAUUGGCAGCAGAUGUUAGCUCGGGGCUAAUCUUCCUCAAAAAAAAAAAAGAUAACAUGGACCUGUAUUUAUAUUAUGAAGUUAAGUGGAACUAAACUGGUUUCACUAUUGCACAUACAGUAUGACUUAAAAAAUUUGAAAGGAAGACAUGCACCAAUGUGCUAACUCUAUUACAGGGUAAUAGAGAUUUUCAUUUAUUUGAGAUGAAAAACAUUUUUUCUAGAUAAGUGCAGAAAAGCAUAAGGAAGAAAAAGCAUAUUGGUGAUUUUCUUAGUUUUGGGUUAUCAAAAAAAUUCAGUUUGGUAAUUUAGAGUCAAGAGGUACUAGAAAGUAUAAGUAGCAAAAGAGCUGUGCCCUAUCUAACCUCUCCCUAUUCUCCUGGGCAACCCUGUUUAAGCCUUUAAUUUUUGCCCUCUGGGUCAAAAUAACGUGCUUAGGUUGCCAUUUCUUGAUUUAUCGAUUGUAGACAUGAUCUGUUGGCUUCCUGAUAAGGUAGAUGGGGAUUUAGGUCUCUUACACCCCCCAUAGUAGGUGAAUAGUGGCCUCUCAAAAAUGCAUGUCUACUUGGAACCUCAGAAUGUGAUCGAUUUGGAAGUAGGGUCUUUCCGAAUGUAAUUAUGGAUCUGAAGAUGAGAUCAUACUGGAUUUAGGGUGGCCGUAAACCCAGUGACUGAUGUGCUUGUCAGUGGAGGAGAGGACACACAGACGCGAACAGAGAGAAGAAGGCCAGGCGAACAUGGAGGCGGUGACUGGAGUUACGGAGCCCCAAACCAGGGAUGCCAAGUGUUCCUGGGAUCCGCCAGAAGCUGGAAGAGAAACUUGGAACACAUUUUCUCUCACAGCCUCCAGAGGGAACUAACCGUGCCAACACCUUGAUUUCAGACAUCUAGCCUCCAGAACUGUGAGACAAUACACUUCUUUUGUUUUAAGCACUCAGUUUGCGAUAAUUUGUUAUGACAGCCCCAGGACAAUAAUAUAACCCCCAUCUCUCUCCAUCUACCUGCAUGUAUACAUUAUGAAUUCUUUUAACCUUUUUUAAUUUCUUAGCUAUCAGGACUGAAGACUGAAACCGCCUGUGUCAACACAAUUACCAUUUAUUCCAGAAAGUUUUUGCCCGGGAAAGAUAAAACUGUAAACCAUUAAAUAUUUCACUGUUUGCUUUGGAAAUUCCUGAAAACCAAUUUAUUCAAGUAAAGGAGUGCACAUUUGGGUGCAUAGCCCCAUUCUCAGAACAGCUGGCUGCUCACUUGGGCAAAAAGUCCACUUGCCAAACAACUGUUUCCUGAAAGACUUGCUCCAAGGCUCUUGCCUACUGUGGCCACCGAUCCUAAUGUACGACGUCAUGGACUUUGCCCAGUCCUGAUGAGAUGCGCAUAUUGAAAGACCCAUUUUAAACCACCUGAGCUCAGACACCAAAGCCCAAUAAGCCUCUGCCCCUGGUCUCCCCCUUCCGAGACCCUCCUAGGCCUGGUCAGGGUGCAGCUGCUGUCUCUGAUGCAGGUAGCUGAAAACAUGGCUUCGUUUGGUGUGCAGGCUGUUCUGGUGGUCUUUCUGGGAAGUCAGCAGACAGCAGUGUGUAUGCGUUUGAGUGUGUGUGAUGUGUGUGCUUGCUUGUAGGUGAGUGUCUGUGAGAGGAAGUGUGCGUGGAUGUGUGUGUGCCUAGUGGCCAGAGGUUAGACCAUAGAGUACAACAAUUUAUGAAAAGUCUUGAAUGCCAAGCUAGAGAAUCUGAAUUCUCUUCCGUAAGCAAUGGGAACCUUGAAGGCUUGACUAGAGAAAGAAUGGCAAGUUCAGGUCAGUGUUUUGGAAAGAUCUGUAAUCCUAGGCUUGGGAGAACUCUCAGGGACACAGAUAAAGAUACCCACAUAGUCACAGCAUAGAAGUGGAGGAGGUUUCGAAACACCAUUGCAAUGGAUUAAAGAUGGCUGCUGAUUCUUUGCCACUCUCCCAUCAAGAGGUGGAGCCUAUUACCCCUCCUUUUGAAUCCAAGCUAGCCUUGGACUUUUGACCAGUUGAAUGCAAUGGAAGUGACAUUGCGUUACUUCUGAGGCUAGGCCUCAAGAGCUUGGCAGCUGCUGCCUUCCUUGUUGGAAUGCUUCCUCUUGAAGCCAGCUGCCGUUAAGCAGUCUGAUUACCUUGAGACCAGCAUGCUGUGAAGCAGCCCAUGCUAGCCAUGUGAAAAGAGAGAGGCCACGUGGAAAAGCGUAGAGGCACCUCAAAAAGAAGCAAAGGCUUGAAAAUGCCACUCCAGCUCAGCCACCAGCUGAUGCCAUGUGGAGAAGAAAGACCACUCAGCUGAGCCCUCUCUGAGUUCCUGACUCUCAGACUCUUGAGCAAGGAAAAUGGUCAUUUUAAGCCACUAGGUCAUGGAAUAGUUUGUUAUGCAGCAACAGACAAUAUUUCUUGAUUAGUCAGUGCCUGUGGAGUAUAGUCCUAGGCAAUAUAUAUACUUUUUUUUUUUGAGGAAGAUUAGCCCUGAGCUAACUGCUGCCAAUCCUCCUCUUUUUGCUGAGGAAGACUGGCCCUGAGCUAACAUCCAUGCCCAUCUUCCUCUACUUUAUAUGUGGGAUGCCUACCACAGCAUGGCUUUUGCCAAGUGGUGCCGUGUCCACACCUGGGAUCCAAACCGGCAAACCCCAGGUGGUCGAAGCAGAACGUGCGCACUUAACCACCGCACCACCGGGCCGGGCCCAAGUCCUAGGCAAUAUUAAGAUGUCAAUUAUCCAUGAUUACAGAUUCAAUGUAAUCCCAGCCACUUAGAUUUUAAUAUUCGUGAUCGCAUUAGCUAUUUUCCUGAAAGUAUUGUAUAUUUAACUCCUCUUUUUAUUCAUAAGUAAUUUCUGCAUCAGAAAUUUCUCUCAAUAUAUAUAUUUAAUCCAAAUAAGACGUGAACCAAAUGAAUCCAAAUUUGUGUCCUAAAUUAGUCACAUAUGCUAUCUUUCAAUAAUACUUUAAAAAAAUAAACAAGGCAUGGUGCCAGGCCUCCCCUCCUUAAUCCUUGAGGUAGAUGCUAUUGUUAUCCCCAUUUUACAGAGGGGGACACUGAAGUUGAGGGAAAGAGCAUGAGGGAAAGGAAGGAUGGAACUAAAGGAAAUGCGGAAAUGGGCGGAGGAGAAUCAGAUGGGGAAACUGAGCGAGAACACCAGAGAGGAGAGAGGAGAGAGGAUAGAAGAGAGAAGGUGUGGUGAAGCCCUAGUGGCCCCUACCCACUCUCAGACUGGGCUUCCUUUGUAGGAUCCCGUUUUUGGAGAGGCAUGCUACCUUUGGAUCUGGGCUGGCUCCUGGCUUGAAGUGUGUGUCUUGCCUCCUUCCUUCAGAUUCCCCAACCGAUGGGCAUCCAGGUUAACCUAUCCCCCUGUGCCUCAUUAGAAUUUCCAAGUGAAACCUGGGUUUGGGGUGAAGGCUUACUUACUAUUAUUUUUUUUUGGAGAGGAGAGGUGAGUAGCAGGGAGAGAGAGAGGCUAGUCCUAAUCUCUUAAAUCGAUUAGUUCAAAAUAUUUGCCUGUCUGGAUUUCAGUAGCCUGGAGAAAUCAACUCUUUAAUGAGGAAUUUCACCAGCAUGAAUUGAUAUGCAAAUCAAUGCAUAUAGCGUGCAACUCCUCCUGGGCCUCUGGAGACGGGUUUUUGUUUUCAACAGGAUUACUUCACUGGGCCAAUUCAAUUGGGGAGAGAAAGCCCUUUGCAAAUGGGAUUUUCAUAUUAAUAAGAGCUGCCAUGGAUUGAGUAUCUGGCACUUGAUGUAUCUAUUUAUAACCUUCCAACAGUGGAACUGGGCAACCUCCACACAGCUUCUUGGAGUUGGUACCCAGGUUUGCCUACAGAGGAAUAUGAAAGCUGUUAGGCUGAGGCAUUUCCCUCAAACAGCCAAAUUCCAAUGCUAAAAUAUCAACACCCAUUUCUUAAUUUCAACUGUAGCAAAUUUACAGAGUAUGAUAAGACUUUUUAAAAACAACGUUUUCUUUUUCUGAUGCAAAUAAUGACUAUUGACAGGGAGAUAAGAAUGGAAGUUAAGUGUGCCUAUUCUGGGGUCAGGGGCCUGGGUUUGAGCCCAGGUCCACCACUUCCCAACCCAGAGAACAGACCACUUGGCUUUUAAUUGUGUCUCAGUUUCCCCAUCUGUAGCCUGGAGAUAAAACUGCAGGGUUGGUGUGAGGAUUAACUGAGUUCAUUCUCAGAAAGCACUUGAUGCCUGGUGCUAAGGAGCUGCCCAGUAAAUGUUAGCAAGUGCCCGGGAAAUAACGAAGAUGAUAGUGGAAGGGAAUUUCUUUUUGCUCUCUCAUACAUUUCUUUUCUUUUCUUUUCUUGAGACGGAAUUUCUUAAUCAGCGCGAGCAAUCAAUAAAGCUGCAACGUGAGAGAACAGUCACAAUUUGGCCAUGGCUUUUAACCCUGUUGAUAAUCUGAGACCUGGCCCUAAGCAGAUUCAAAGCAUGUUGAAAAUGCAGGUCUUUGCAAGGUAUAAAGGAGAACAAACACAUUGUUAGUGAAUGAACACUCAUUUUUGGAAGGCAAGCAUUCUUUUUUGUUUGUUUGUUUUUUUGAGGAAGAUUAGCCCUGAGCUAACUACUGCCAAUCCUCCUCUUUUUGCUGAGGAAGACUGGCCCUGAGCUAACAUCCAUGUCCAUCUUCCUCUACUUUAUAUGUGGGACGCCUACCACAGCAUUGCUUUUGCUAAGGGGUGCCAUGUCCGCAACCGGGAUCCGAACCGGCAAACCCCAGGCUGCUGAGAAGCGGAACGUGCGAACUUAACUGCUGCGCCACUGGGCUGGCCCGCAUUCUUUUUUUUUUAAAUUUAUUUUUAUUGAGACAAAAUUGACAUAUUGUGUAAGUUUAAGAUGGACAACGUGUUGAUUUGAUGCAGUUAUAUAUUGCAAUAUGGUUACCACCAUAGCAUUAGCUAAUAUCUCUAUCGUGUUACAUAAUUAUCAUUUCUUUUUUGUGGUGGGAACAAUUAAGAUCUAGUCCUUUCACAACUUUGAAGUAUAUAGUACAGUAUUGUUGGCUGUAAUCACUGUACUUGUAAGGCAAGCACUCUUCUUAAAAAAAAUGUUUAAUCCAAUUUCCCCACCCAAUUUUGAAACUUUUUAUUAUGAAAAUAAUGAGGUGGGAAUACCUGAUGUCUCGAAGGUUGGCCUCUCUAGUUUUGCUGUCUAGCUCUUCCUUCUGGUCUUUGAAGCCGCCUCUAGAAAUGCUAAAGAUGAUAGCUUCUUCCAUUUCAUCUUUUGACACCUUUUCAUGUACUUUGUGCUUUCCAGAAACUUGUUGAAAUCACUCGUCUGCUGAUGACCUCCAAUUUAUUCUCUCUUCUGUUUUGUGCUUGCAUCUUUUCUAUUUCUCUGUUAUUGUUUUAGUUGGGUUUCUGUAAUGAGAGAGAAAUGAAUGGUCUUUGAGAACCAAAGUUCCAUUAAAGUUUAUUCUCUUAAGAUAAUAAGUGGUACUUCGGGGGUCAUAGGGUUUUGGUUCUGGUAAGAAAUCUUGUCAGUUUUACCCUGGAGAAGUAACGUGGUUUGUCAGGAAUCCCAAUUUAACAGCUACAGUAAUCCAGAGAGAGCUCACAGUUACGGGCGGAGGAGAGUGAAUCCGUGCAGCUAAAUCGGACUUUCCCUGGAUUUUACAGAAGAGGAAGGUGCAGCUCAGAGAGAAGGGGUCACGUCCACUCAGUGAGUUAGUAGCAGACAGGAGGGGACCAUCUUCUAUACCCAAUCUGGGUUCCUUCUAGUACGCCCUACAGUUUGUGCACUCAUGACUGGGAGCCCGUUCUCACUGGCACUGACGCGCUAUGGGGCAUCCAUCACAGAAGCUGAGGGGUGGUGGGUUUCAGAAGCGUGGGCUCUGUGGUGGAGCACAGCUGGCUCGAUCUCCAGCUAUGAGACCUUGGUCAAGUUGAGGAUUUCUGCAUUUUAGUGUCUUCACGUG
ensembl:lncRNA